UACGGGAGGCAGCAGUGGGGAAUAUUGCACAAUGGGCGCAAGCCUGAUGCAGCCAUGCCGCGUGUAUGAAAAAGGCCUUCGGGUUGUAAAGUACUUUCAGUCGUGAGGAAGGUGUUAAGGUUAAUAACCUUAGCAAUUGACGUUAGCGACAGAAGAAGCACCGGCUAACUCCGUGCCAGCAGCCGCGGUAAUACGGAGGGUGCGAGCGUUAAUCGGAAUUACUGGGCGUAAAGGGCACGCAGGCGGUUAAUUAAGUUGGAUGUGAAUCCCCGGGCUUAACCUGGGAAUGGCAUUCAAGACUGGUUAGCUAGAGUCUUGUAGAGGGGGUAGAAUUCCAUGUGUAGCGGUGAAAUGCGUAGAGAUGUGGAGGAAUACCGGGUGGCGAAGGCGGCCCCUGGACAAAGACUGACGCUCAUGUGCGAAAGCGUGGGGAGCGAAACGAGGGAUUAGA
rnacentral:rRNA from 1 species